rnacentral:lncRNA from 1 species
GGAAAUCCCAAAAUAGCGACAAGCCCUCUGCACGCAGGACAAAGCCAGGAUGAGUCACGCUCCGUGUCAGCGUGGCACUCUCUGCUGCUUCAGAAAACCACUCAGGCUGUUUCCGUUCCACUUGACAAGAUGCGGCCGCAGACCACCCACUUCCCGCCUCAGGGGGCCUUGCCGGGGGUCCCGACGUGUCUGCUGUUACGCUCCCCAGAGCCCCCAGAUGCCCACCCCUCGCUGAUGUGCUUUAAGUGAGGGCUCGUCUGCGGGUAUCACGGGAUGGAGACCCAGGACCAGAAGACAGCAUGGCUCGUGUACAGAACACCGUACUGAAAGUCGGGGUGAGCCGGCCUCCCAGGCGAGGGCCAGCCACGCGGAAGCUGCAGGGGCAGAGUUUUUUCCUUCUAAUGAGGCAGUUAUUUUUCUCUGGAAGAAGACUGGGGCCGUUGGCACAGAAAACCUGAGCUCUCCCUGCAGAAUAUCCACACAGUUUCCAGUUUUGAAGCUAAAAAUGUACCAGAACAUAGAGCAAUGUUCCAACGCCCAACACCUCCUAAGAGCCACUCUGGUCGACUUCUUUUCUCCCGUGGGCUUUCCUCGCCACUCUGCCUGGUGGGGGCUCGUCCUCUGGUUUUUGUUAAUAAAGCUUUAUUGGCA